rnacentral:rRNA from 1 species
AACGAACGCUGGCGGCAUGCUUCAUACAUGCAAGUCGAACGGUUGUAGCAAUACAAUAGUGGCGAACGGGUGCGUAACACGUGGAUAAUCUGCCCCUUGGCGGGGGAUAUCGGCUGGAAACGGCCGGCAAUACCGCAUGUGGCCUACGGAACCUCGGUUCUGUAGAAGAAAGGCGCUUCACGGCGUCGCCAAGGGAUGAGUCCGCGGCCCAUUAGCUAGUUGGUGAGAUAAUAGCCCACCAAGGCUUUGAUGGGUAGCCGAGCUGAGAGGUUGAUCGGCCACACUGGGACUGAGACACGGCCCAGACUCCUACGGGAGGCAGCAGUGGGGAAUCUUGCGCAAUGGGCGAAAGCCUGACGCAGCAACGCCGCGUGCGGGAUGAAGGCCUCGGUUGUAACGCUUCAGCAGGACGAAAGUAGACGGUACC